AAUGAACGUUGGCGGCAUGGAUUAGGCAUGCAAGUCGAGCGCGAAACGUAGCAAUACGUGGAGAGCGGCGAAAGGGAGAGGAAUAUGUGGGAACCUACCUUCGGGCCUGGAAUAGCGGCGGGAAACUGCCGGUAAUGCCAGAUAACGUCCCCGGACCAAAGGUGUGAUUCCGCCUGGAGAUGGGCCCACAUCCUAUCAGCUUGUUGGUGUGGUAACGGCGCACCAAGGCUAAGACGGGUAUGGGGUGUGAGAGCAUGCCCCCACGCACUGGGACUGAGACCCUGCACAGACAGAUACGGGUGGCGGCAGGCGAGAAACUUCGGGAAGGAGCGCAAGAUUGAGCGAGCGAGGCCGCGUGCGGGAUAAAGGCCGUCGGGUUGUAAACCGCUGUCGUAGGGGAAUAACGGUCGGUGGGUUCUCCCAUCGAUUUGAAUGCUCCUAGGAGGAAGGACGGGCUAAGUUCGU
rnacentral:rRNA from 1 species